rnacentral:rRNA from 1 species
UAGGGAAUCUUCCGCAAUGGACGCAAGUCUGACGGAGCAACGCCGCGUGAGUGAAGAAGGAUUUCGGUUCGUAAAACUCUGUUGUUAGAGAAGAACAGCGCAUAGAGUAACUGUUAUGCGUGUGACGGUAUCUAACCAGAAAGCCACGGCUAACUACGUGCCAGCAGCCGCGGUAAUACGUAGGUCCCGAGCGUUGUCCGGAUUUAUUGGGCGUAAAGGGUUCGCAGGCGGAAAUGCAAGUCAGGUGUAAAAGGCAGUAGCUUAACUACUGUAAGCAUUUGAAACUGCAUAUCUUGAGAAGAGUAGAGGUAAGUGGAAUUUUUAGUGUAGCGGUGAAAUGCGUAGAUAUUAAAAAGAAUACCGGUGGCGAAGGCGACUUACUGGGCUCAUUCUGACGCUGAGGAACGAAAGCGUGGGUAGCAAACAGG